UACGGAGGGUGCAAGCGUUAUCCGGAUUCACUGGGUUUAAAGGGUGCGUAGGCGGCUUUGUAAGUCAGUGGUGAAAUAUGGCAGCUUAACUGUCAGGGUGCCAUUGAUACUGCAGAGCUUGAGUACAGAUGAGGUAGGCGGAAUUGACGGUGUAGCGGUGAAAUGCUUAGAUAUCGUCAAGAACACCGAUAGCGAAGGCAGCUUACUGGGCUGUAACUGACGCUGAGGCACGAAAGUGUGGGGAUCAAACAGG
rnacentral:rRNA from 1 species